CAGCCGCCGCGGUAAUACGAAGGGUGCAAGCGUUAAUCGGAAUUACUGGGCGUAAAGCGUGCGUAGGCGGUGAGUUAAGUCUGCUGUGAAAUCCCCGGGCUCAACCUGGGAAUGGCAGUGGAUACUGGCUCGCUAGAGUGUGUCAGAGGAUGGUGGAAUUCCCGGUGUAACGGUGAAAUGCGUAGAGAUCGGGAGGAACAUCAGUGGCGAAGGCGGCCAUCUGGGACAACACUGACGCUGAAGCACGAAAGCGUGGGGAGCAAACAGGAUUAGAUACCCCAGUAGUCCCUGUCUCUUAUAC
rnacentral:rRNA from 1 species